UACGUAGGGACCGAGCGUUGUCCGGAAUCAUUGGGCGUAAAGAGCGUGUAGGCGGCUAUUUAAGUCCUGCGUGAAAUCCUGCGGCUCAACCGCAGACGGUCGUGGGAAACUGGAUGGCUAGAGUGCGGGAGAGGAGAGUGGAAUUCCCGGUGUAGCGGUGAAAUGCGCAGAUAUCGGGAAGAACACCCGUGGCGAAGGCGCUCUCUGGAACGCAACUGACGCUGAGACGCGAAAGCGUGGGGAGCAAACAGGGUAGUAA
rnacentral:rRNA from 1 species